GGGUCCGUGGCUCAAUGAUCAGAGUUUUGGACUGCUGAUCCACAGGUCGCGGAUUCA
rnacentral:tRNA from 1 species